AAAAGAAGGAGGAGGAGGAGGAAUGGAAUAGAAUAGAGGAUCCAGAGAAAAAGACCACAUAGGUAUGGCAAAUUGAUUUCUGAGACACGUGUAACAGGAAUUCAAUAGAAUAAGGACUGUCUUUUUAGCAUUGACUGUUGGAACAACUGGUUGUCCACAGUCCCACCACAAAGCAAAAGAAAAAAUUCUCAACCUGAACCUCCACACCUUGCACAAAAAUGAACUCACGUUGAUUAUACGUCUAUAUGCAAAACAUAAAAGAAUAAACCUCUUAGAAGGACAUAUAGGGAGAAAUCCUCAAGGCUGGGGAUUAAGCAAAGAAUUCCUAACAUGACAACAAAAGCAAGAUUCCAACAGAAAAUUGAUAAAUUAGACAUCAUUAAAACUAAAACUUUUGGAGUGGUGCUGGGAGUCUCCCGGAUGCGGAGCGGUUACUCGCAGCGGGCGGCGCAGUCCGUGGCUGCACAGCGCACAGCGGGCGUUAGCGGCAGCAACCCGGGAGGCAGCCCGGCCGUCACAGCCCCUGAGCCGGUGCGGCCGCCCUUGCUCCCUGUGCUCUUCCUCCCUUCGCUCGCACGGUGGCUGAUCAGCUGACUGAAGAACAGAUUGCUGAAUUCAAGGAAGCUUUCUCCCUAUUGGACAAAGAUGGUGACGGCACCAUCACAACAAAGGAACUUGGAACUGUCAUGAGGUCACUGGGUCAGAACCCAACAGAAGCCCAAUUGCAGGAUCUGAUCAACGAAGUGGAUGCUGAUGGUAACGGCACCAUUGACUUCCCAGAAUUUUUUACUAUGAUGGCUAGAAAAAUGAAAGAUACAGAUAGCGAAGAAGAAAUCCGUGAGUCUUUGACAAGGACGGCAACGGUUGCAUCAGCGCAGCAGAACUACAUCACAUCAUGACAAACUUAGGAGAAAAACUAACAGAUGAAGAAGUAGAUGAAAUGAUCAGAGAAGCAGAUAUUGAUGGAGACGGACAAGUCAACUAUGAAGGAUUCGUACAGAUGAUGACUGCAAAAUGAAGACCUACUUUCAACUCCUUUCCCCCCCCUCUAGAAGAAUCAAAUUGAAUCUUUUACUUACCUCUUGCAAAAAAA